GAUGAACGCUGGCGGCGUGCUUAACACAUGCAAGUCGAGCGAAGCGCUUAAGUUUGAUUCUUCGGAUGAAGACUUUUGUGACUGAGCGGCGGACGGGUGAGUAACGCGUGGGUAACCUGCCUCAUACAGGGGGAUAACAGUUAGAAAUGACUGCUAAUACCGCAUAAGACCACGGUACCGCAUGGUACAGUGGUAAAAACUCCGGUGGUAUGAGAUGGACCCGCGUCUGAUUAGGUAGUUGGUGGGGUAACGGCCUACCAAGCCGACGAUCAGUAGCCGACCUGAGAGGGUGACCGGCCACAUUGGGACUGAGACACGGCCCAGACUCCUACGGGAGGCAGCAGUGGGGAAUAUUGCACAAUGGAGGAAACUCUGAUGCAGCGACGCCGCGUGAAGGAUGAAGUAUUUCGGUAUGUAAACUUCUAUCAGCAGGGAAGAAAAUGACGGUACCUGACUAAGAAGCC
rnacentral:rRNA from 1 species